rnacentral:rRNA from 1 species
UACGGAGGGCGCGAGCGUUAAUCGGAAUUACUGGGCGUAAAGCGCGCGUAGGCUGUUGUGUAAGUUGGGGGUGAAAUCCCACGGCUCAACCGUGGAACAGCCCUUGAUACUGCACGACUUGAAUCCGGGAGAGGGUGGCGGAAUUCCAGGUGUAGGAGUGAAAUCCGUAGAUAUCUGGAGGAACAUCAGUGGCGAAGGCGGCCACCUGGACCGGUAUUGACGCUGAGGCGCGAAAGCGUGGGGAGCAAACAGG